UAAUUUUAAUAUAGAGAUUAUAUCUGGUAUAACUCCAACUUUAAUCUAAAGUAGAACAAAUAUCAAAUUCUUGACAACAUGUUUUUCAUUCAUUGAGUACUUACUGAAAAUGAUUCAUUAGAAGCUCCACUUAUACUCUCGUCUCCCAAAGGAAAGGCUGCCUAUUGCAAUUUAGUAUAAAUGAUCAAGCAAUAUAAUAAGUACAUCCAAAAUUUGAGCACCCCUAUAAUAAAAAGAGGCAGAACUGAAACCCAAUCAUAGAUUAUAGAAGAAAAUAAAUAGCUACCAAUCUUAUUAAACAACAUCUAUGAAUCUUAACAAAAAUUUGUAACGUUUAUACAAUCAUUCGAUAAGAGCAGCAAUGUACGAUUGACGGUGAAAUUAGAAUUCUACCCAUCAUGAAAAUCAUCACAAUAGACAUAGAUUUGAGAUACCAAACCGGCAAUAAAUCCAAAACAUUUUGAGCAUCCAUAAAUUAUACUAAGUGGGCAGUAACAUACAGACCCAUCACUAGAUCUGUCAUCAUCCUAUCCAUUCCGUAGUUUCAUAUCAAAUUCUAUGUGCUCACUAAAAUCAAAAAAUUAAAAUUAACAUUAAACCUAAAAUUCAAGAGGAGAAGUUUCCAAGAAUCUUGACAGAAAUCCAAAUUCUCUGUUCAAUAGUACAAUUUUACCAAAUUUGAAAAGAAAAUCCAAACAAAAUAUACAGUAUUAAACAUCAAGUUUCAGCAACAAAAGUUUCUUAGCACACUCUAAAAAUCUAAAUUAAUACAACCAUAAAUAAGGAAGAAUGUUGACAAAUAAACUAGAAAGUAAAAAUACCAAAAAGAAAAUCUUCAAUUUGCGAACCUCAGAGGAAAUGAGGGAAAUACCUAAGUUCUAGGCGCACUUAAGAUACGUAAGUUCCUCUCCGAAGACAAAUAGACUGCUUCCAUAUUUUAUUCCAUCUCUCAACUCACAAUCGUCGUCAACAAUCACGAUUUGAGCUAUAUUGAGAGAAGGUGGCCUCUGAAUGGCACUCACGACAACCAAUGAGAAUUUUAGGCGAAGGAGGUGAAGGGAUUUGGGAAAAUGGCUGCCAUCACAGUUCUAGGACUUUGGCAGAAAGAGAAGAACGAUUUGAGUAAAUGAGAGAUAUAAAGAAAUGCAACUUCUCUAAUUUUAC
rnacentral:lncRNA from 1 species